CCCAGGUUGAUAUUUCCCUUUAAUGCGUACUCAUUAAGUCAUGUGACUAGGUUCAGCCAAUCGGGUUGGCGGAGUGAGUAUUGAAGCUGCGGCGGCGUCUUCCGCAUUUGGAGGUGUGGGACGCCGACCGACAGCUGUGGAGAGACGCGAUUACCGGGCCGCGGGGAGUUUGUUGUCGCCAUCGUGUUAAGUGAUCAGAGGAACUGGCCAGGUGUCUCCGGUUGGGAGAGAUGGCAGGAUAGGAAGCACGAUUGGGAGCCUUGGACCUCAGUAGCAGCAUUAGCCACAGUACCGGCUGGUAGGAGGCUGCCACAGUGUCGGCCCUCACACUGAACUUUCUGUCAUGACGCCACAUGCACACACCCAUUGAGUCAAAGCCUACAAUACUCAAAGGACAUUCAAACAUAUGGACUUACCUACAUUUUUUGUCGGGCAUUGGAGUCAACCUGCCGAGUGAUGUGGACAUGCUACUAAAAGAACUGAACUUUAGCUAGUAGCUAGUAUCCUGGUUUUUGGGGUACUGUAAUACUGAUAAUACUGCAGUUGUAAAUAUCAUCACGUUUGGGUCUCUGUCUGUGUAUGUGUCACGUAAACUGUAAAAACACUGUCACUGUAAUAUAUGGUUUUGCUACCAAGUGCAAUUUUCUUGUGGCUCAUUAAUUACUGAUCACCAGCUCCAGUAGCCCAUCCUAAUCUUCAGAUUCUCUGGCCUUAGAACCCGCUUGGUGAUGAUCCAGCUUGUUGUCCGUUAGUUAGUAGCGGGUUGAGACACCCGUUAUAUGUGCAAGGAUAUAAAACAGUGCAUUUAGAUGAUGUUAAUUGUAUAUACAAUGAUAACGAUGACGGUUAAUAGAAAAUUUCUCCCCAAGCUCACCCUGCCUCCAUGCUUCAGGCCCCAAACCAGACACAGGUG